GCAAACUUGGUCAUUUAGAGGAAGUAAAAGUCGUAACAAGGUUUCCGUAGGUGAACCUGCGGAAGGAUCAUUACCGAGUGCGGGCUCUCCCAGCCCAACCUCCCACCCGUGUUGACCGUGACUCUGUUGCUUCGGCGGGGCCCGCGCCCGCCGGAGGAGGCCCCUGAACCCUGUGUGAACCGGGCGUCUGAGUGAGGGAUUGAAUCAGUAAAAACUUUCAACAAUGGAUCUCUUGGUUCCGGCAUCGAUGAAGAACGCAGC
rnacentral:misc_RNA from 1 species